rnacentral:tRNA from 1 species
GCGUCUGUAACUCAGCGGUAGAGUGCCACUCUUAUAAAGUGGAAGCCCUUGGUCCGAAUCCAAGCAGACGCA